AGAGUUUGAUCCUGGCUCAGGACGAACGCUGGCGGCGUGCUUAACACAUGCAAGUCGGACGGUCGGUACUGGAAGGUUCGCUGGAAGGUGCCGAUAGUGGCGGACGGGUGAGUAACGCGUGAGGACAUGGCAGCAGGAGGGGGAUAACGUCUGGAAACGGACGCUAAGACCCCAUAAGCCGGGAGGUGAAAGUGGCGUAAGCCAGCCUGUUGAGUGACUCGCGUCCUAUCAGCUAGUUGGCGGGGUGAAGGCCCACCAAGGCGAUGACGGGUAGCCGACCUGAGAGGGUGGCCGGCCACACUGGAACUGAGAUACGGUCCAGACUCCUACGGGAGGCAGCAGUGGGGAAUAUUGGGCAAUGGGCGCAAGCCUGACCCAGCGACGCCGCGUGGGGGAAGAAGUCUUUCGGGACGUAAACCCAUGUUGUACGGGACGAAGGAAGUGACGGUACCGUACGAGGAAGCCCCGGCAAACUACGUGCCAGCAGCCGCGGUAA
rnacentral:rRNA from 1 species